GUUCUGGGGUCGCCCCCACGGCGGCGCGGCGGAGCUCAGCCUCGAUCUCGCGAAACCGAGCGAGACUACGGAAGGCCGAAGGAUUGGGCUCAGCAUUGCUUGGGCUAAAGGCUGACUAGGGCUUCCAGGAAGUGAUGUGCUUCUAAGUGCCAGUGCCAGGAGUCUUGCUCUGUUGCCCAGGCUUGAGUGCAGUGGCACGAUCUUGGCUCACUGCAACCUCCACCUCCCGAGUUCAAGCGAUUCUCCUGCCUCACCCUCCUGAGUAGCUGGGACUACAGGCCUGCGCCACCACACCUGGCUAACUUCUGAAUAUCAAGCUGAAAUUACUAUCAGAUAUCUUGCCACCACAUAGAGGCUUUGAGUGAAGUCUGCAUGGAGGAGAACAGAGCUGAGAGAUGGAAAGAUACUGAAUCCCAGUGACGUCCUUUGAGAUGUCGGAUCAAGCUGAGCUGGGCAUGAAGAUAGAGCUACUCCUAUACUUUUAAGAUACCAAUAACAAGCAAGAUUCAGAAGUCCAACAAGUAAGACAUUGAUUUCAUUAAGAGAGAACUAGUAAGCAAGCUAUUUGGGAAGUACACUCUCAUAAGAAUAUUGUUUCAUGAAGUCUUGAGCAACAAAGGAAAUAGUCCAUGAAGUGCACUGCUGUCAGACUCCCUCUAAGAAUACUUCAACUGCUCAUGAAGCGGGGGGCCUUAACUAUUUACUUCUUUUGGAAGCCUCCAUCUGGCCCAUCUAUCUUUAUUCUCCCAGGAUCACAGGAUGAAGUACAGCUUGGCUGACCCAGUUCUUGGGAUGGGAGGAUUAAUGAACUCUCUAAACCAAACUUUUGGAGGAAAAGAACUUCAGAGGAGUUGGGUUCUGAUGGACAUCACUUGGGAAUGUUGAGA
rnacentral:lncRNA from 10 species